rnacentral:rRNA from 1 species
UACGAAGGGUGCAAACGUUGCUCGGAAUUAUUGGGCGUAAAGCGCACGUAGGCGGCUUGGCAAGUCGGAUGUGAAAUCCCUCGGUUCAACCAAGGAAGUGCAUCCGAAACUGCCGAGCUUGAGUACUUAAGAGGAUCGCGGAAUUCCCGGUGUAGAGGUGAAAUUCGUAGAUAUCGGGAGGAACACUAGUGGCGAAGGCGGCGAUCUGGGAAGAUACUGACGCUGAGGUGCGAAAGCGUGGGGAGCAAACAGG